rnacentral:rRNA from 1 species
UACGUAGGGGGCAAGCGUUGUCCGGAUUUAUUGGGCGUAAAGAGCGUGUAGGCGGUUUGGUAGGUCCGCUGUGAAAACUCGAGCUCAACCUCGAGACGCCGGUGGAAACCAUCAGACUAGAGUCCGGAAGAGGAGAGUGGAAUUCCUGGUGUAGCGGUGAAAUGCGCAGAUAUCAGGAAGAACACCCGUGGCUAAGGCGGCUCUCUAGUACGGUACUGACGCUGAGAGACGAAAGCGUGGGAGCAAACAGG